rnacentral:rRNA from 1 species
GGAUUAGAUACCCUGGUAGUCCACGCUGUAAACGAUGGGUACUAGAUUUGACGGGAUUUGACCCCUGUUGAAUCGGAGCUAACGCACUAAGUACCCCGCCUGGUAAGUACGGUCGCAAGACUAAAACUCAAAGGAAUUGACGGGGGCCCGCACAAGCGGUGGAUCAUGUGGUUUAAUUCGAAGCAACGCGAAGAACCUUACCUGGGUUUGACAUCUCUGGACCGUCGUAGAGAUACGAUUUCUGUAGCAAUACAGCCGGAUGACAGGUGCUGCAUGGCUGUCGUCAGCUCGUGCCG